GCGAAUAUAGUUUAAUUAAAAUGUUACGUUGUGGGUGUAAAGUUAAAUUUUUAUUUUGUUCGCA
rnacentral:tRNA from 1 species